GGUGAGAUGGCCGAGUUGGUUAUGGCGCCAGGUUAAGGUCACCUUAGCAUCAUUCCUGGUGGAGCAAUCCUCAUGGGUUCGAAUCCCAUUCUCAUCA
rfam:Beauveria bassiana D1-5 contig00712, whole genome shotgun sequence.